rnacentral:tRNA from 1 species
GUCCAGGGAUGGGAAUCGAACCAACAGUAUUCGGCUUACCGGGCAGAUGCCAUGUCCACUAGGCUACCCUGGA